rnacentral:rRNA from 1 species
UGGCGGCAUGCCUAACACAUGCAAGUCGAACGGGAUCCUGGCUUCGGCCAGGUGAGAGUGGCGGACGGGUGAGUAACGCGUGGGAACCUGCCCAUUGGUCUGGGAUAACUGCGGGAAACUGCAGCUAAUACCGGAUGUACCCGAGAGGGGAAAGAUUUAUCGCCGAUGGAGGGGCCCGCGUCAGAUUAGGUAGUUGGUGAGGUAACGGCCCACCAAGCCUACGAUCUGUAGCUGGUCUGAGAGGAUGAUCAGCCACACUGGGACUGAGAUACGGCCCAGACUCCUACGGGAGGCAGCAGUGGGGAAUAUUGGACAAUGGGGGCAACCCUGAUCCAGCAAUGCCGCGUGAGUGAUGAAGGCCUUAGGGUUGUAAAGCUCUUUUACCAGGGACGAUGAUGACGGUACCUGGAGAAUAAGCCCCGGCUAACUUCGUG